rnacentral:rRNA from 1 species
AUUGAACGCUGGCGGCAUGCUUUACACAUGCAAGUCGGACGGCAGCACAGAGAAGCUUGCUUCUUGGGUGGCGAGUGGCGAACGGGUGAGUAACAUAUCGGAACGUACCGAGCAGUGGGGGAUAACUAAUCGAAAGAUUAGCUAAUACCGCAGAUCUUCUGAGGAAGAAAGCAGGGGACCAUUUGGCCUUGCGCUGUGUGAGCGGCCGAGAUCUGAUUAGCUAGUUGGUGGGGUAAAGGCCUACCAAGGCGACGAUCAGUAGCGGGUCGGAGAGGAUGAGAGGCCACAUUGGGACUGGGACACGGACAAGGCGCCUACGGGAGGCAGCAGUGGGGAACUUUGGGCAAUAGGCGCGAGCAUGAUACAAUCAUGCGGCGUCUCAUGCAAAGGCGUUCGGGUUGUAAAGAACUUUUGUCAGGGAUGAACCGGGUGGGGUUAUUACCCCUGUUGAGUGACGGUACCUGGAGAAUAAGCACCGGCUAACUACGUG